UCAGACGUGGUGUACGGCAAACCCUCGCUUUUAGUGCAGACACAGCACUUAAAAAUGCAGCGAACGUCCGGGGUUCGAUUCCCCGUGUCUGAG